rnacentral:rRNA from 1 species
AUAAUCCCUGCGGGGGAAAGAUUUAUCGCUAUUAGAUGAGCCUAUGUUAGAUUAGCUAGUUGGUAGGGUAAAGGCCUACCAAGGCGAUGAUCUAUAGCUGGUCUGAGAGGAUGAUCAGCCACACUGGAACUGAGAUACGGUCCAGACUCCUACGGGAGGCAGCAGUGGGGAAUAUUGGACAAUGGGCGCAAGCCUGAUCCAGCUAUGCCGCGUGAGUGAGGAAGGCCUUAGGGCUGUAAAACUCUUUCAGUAGGGAAGAUAAUGACGGUACCUACAGAAGAAGUCCCGGCAAACUCCGUGCCAGCAGCCGCGGUAAUACGGAGGGGGCAAGCGUUGUUCGGAAUUAUUGGGCGUAAAGGGCAUGUAGGCGGUUCGGUAAGUUAAAGGUGAAAUGCCAGGGCUUAACCCUGGAGCUGCUUUUAAUACUGCCA